UAAAUAUUGAUUUUUCUCAAUUUUAAAUGUCAUAACUUUUUCAAUUCUUAUCAAAAUUUAUAAACUUGGUAUCAAAAUAAAGGUCUUAAAAAGGGGAAUAAGGAUACAUAAAAGACAUAUCCGGGGCAUUAGAAAGGGGUCUAUAACACUCUUUAAUAUAUUUAAAGUCUAGGUUUUUUUUAAAGAAAAUUUAAAUUUUUUAUUUUAUUUUUUAUGCUUUAUAUUAUUUUGUAUCUACCAUUCAAUAUUAUUUAUAUCAUAAUAUACAUUUAAACAUUAUUAAUAUUUGAAUGUUUAUUAUGAUACGCCCUUACCCAAUUAUCUGAGUGUAUAGCGGAACUCAAAUCAAAAAUAGGUACCUAUUUUGGGUAAGUUAGUAGGGUGUCUGGUCGAGCUUUUUUUUUUUCAUGAAAUUUGGCAGGUAGCAAGAAAAAAGGUUUUUGCAAAAAUCUGAAUAUAUUAGAAAAUAGUCUCAAUAUUCCUUCAAUACAUACCUAAUGCACAAGCAACAAGGAAGUUUUAAACAACGAUAAAUUCAUUAUAAACAAAAUUUUACAAAGAAGAUUUCCAUGCUGAAUUAAAGUUCUAACUAUUCUAAUACUCAAAAAAAAUGUUGAUACAAAUUUGUAAAAAAAGAACACAGCAAAACAUGUUCAUACCCAGCCACUCUUAAAAAUACUAAAAAAAGUGUGGCAUAAAGUUUGGACAAAGAAAACGGUUCUGUUAAAGUCGGAAUUACAUGUACCUAACAAUAAUGGUUUAGGGAUAAAGAAAAAUUGCUUAGUAAAUUUGUUCGGAAACAACAUUAAAAAGAGUGCAGUCUUGAGAAGAAGAAAAAAGGGUUUAAAUCUGAUUUAAUGACUAAUAGUUGAAUUGAUACAUAGGUAUUAGAGUGACAACAUUCUUAUAGUAUAAAAACACUGAAAUAAACAUUUAUUUUUGAUUUUACUUCAACAACCUCACCCAGGACCUAGAAAAAACUGUCUUGGAAAUAUUGUGACAGUCAAAUUUGGAUAAAGUUUUAUUUUUGACUAUAAUAUAUAAUAAAACACACUUCAAAAUUGAAUAAUAAAAUAAUAAAAUACAAUCACUUGUUUGAUAUUAUAAACUUCAAAUUAAUUUUUUCAGCACUUUUACACUUUAUUUCUUGCAUGAUUUCAAUUGCUUUUUCUAUACAAGUGUAUUUCUUUGUGUUUGAAUUGCUGUAUUGUGUCUAUUCUGAUGUUUCCUAAAAAUUGUUUGUGAUUUUUCUUUUUCUUUGAACCGUUGUCCAAUUUCUCAUAAUUCUUUUUGUUAUAAAAAUGGUCACUGAACCAAACAUUAAACCAAGUUUCACAAGUCAAUUCACAAAUUUCAGUCAUGUUUUUCUGGAAGUAGCAGAAAAGCAAAUAAAGAAAUGCUCUAGAGUUCCAGCUUGCAUUACUUUUAUUAAGUAAUGCUUUAAAAGUAAUAAAGAUAAAUAACCCAUGUUCUUGGUAAUAUCGAUAAAGAUUUCCCAACUCAUAUAAAAACUGAGUAUUGAUUUGCCAUUUGUUGUUUUUAAAUUUUAUUUUUACAUCACUUUGUUGAAAGUCAUUUCUAAGAUUUGCAUAGUUGUCAUUGACUAUAUGGUAUCACAGAUUGUAACUGUAAUGCUUUCCCACAAAUGGUAUAGGUAUAACACCUCAGUUAUUCCAUUAAAUAUUGUUAAUGCUUUUUCAUUACUAAGAGUUAUUGUAGCUAGGCGAACUUCAUGGAGCUGUUUUUUUAAUACUAUAACUUGCAUUUCUUCCUCGUUAAUUUUCUUACCAUCAAAAUGCAGAGCCCAAUUUUUAUUUUUAAGAGUUUCUUUUAAGUUCUGCUGCGUUUUCUGUAAUUCUCUAACAAAUGUCUUACAUAUUGCAGAUUGAGUUGGUAUAAUGAUAUCAAUACCUUGGUCAGGUAGUUGUUUACAAACUCUUACUGAUUUAGAGGCACUUAAAUUAUUCAUUUUAACUAGAUGAACUGCAGUUUCUGUAGUGGAAUAUUACUUGGUCUUUCUUUUUUUAGCGUAGGGGUUCAACAGUAUAUUCACAGUCAUCAGUAUCAUCGUCAAAGGUUUCUGAAUACUUUUUAUAUAUUGGAGACAAUUUCAGAUUCUAAAUUUCUAUUUAAAGAAGAUUACAUGCACUACUGCUUGAGAUAUUUCCUUUGUUAACUUUUAAUGGGUGCACUUUAAUGUGUGUUUUUCUUGCAUAGCCAACUACACUUUGUGAUUUAAUCUGCAUUUCAAAAAAUCUUCAGGUACCAAUUAGAUGUACCAAUUAGAUUUAAUCUGCAUUUCAAAAAAUCUUCAGGUACCAAUUAGAUGUCAUCUGUUUUUGUAAUAUCAAACACAUUUUCAAAUUUAACUUGAACACAUUCCUUAUGGUGUUUGAAAAAGUUUCAAAAUUAUGUUUUUUAAUUAAUGCAUUAUUCAACUAUUGCUGCAAUUUCUUUAAUUCAUCAGUAAUCACCUUAUUUCUAACAUUUCUUGAUUUUUUAUCUUUUGGCAUUCUAAAUAAACCACAAUUUCCUUUGUGUGGCACUUUUGGUAUACUGUCAAGUUUUUUCUCCAAGUACCAGAAUUUUUUUUAGAUCUUCUUGCUCUUUAUAUAUGACAUACUCCAUAAAAGGUAACUUGAAAGUAAACACACUGAAAACAACCCCAGACAUGCAACAACUGAAAGCGGAAACAGAUAAUACAACAAUGAACAAAUACUCACAGAGAAUUAAUAGUUUCCAAAGAACUAAAAUUUGGUCGUUUCUAUAGUACUGCACUUCUAACAAAAUAUUCCAAUCUGUGAGGUAUUUCUCAAGGUCAAGUCAUAAUAUUGAAGUUUUUAUGAGUCAAAAACUAAUAGCCAUCAACACUGAGAUUGGAUGCUGGAGUAACCAAAUUAAAUUAGUCUCUUAAAGAGCAAAUCAGUCGGGUGAGUUUUGCAAGACAGGAAUUCCAAUGGAUAAAAGUUACUUUAAAGACAUAUUGUAUUCAGAAAGAGCUGCUUUGUCACUACCAAGGAGGCGCAAGCUAAAGCCAGGCUGGUUAACAGAAAUUUUCUGCUUAUGUCUUUUCCUCGGAGUCCUUCUUUAAAAUAGCAGCCAAAUGCAGUUGACAUUAACCCAAGAUAAUUAUUUUUAUCAAGACACCAUUUCAAGCUUUUACUCAACCAAGAACUCCAAGGCACUGAGUAUUUUAAGCCAGAGGUAACUUUUCCUAACAUUUGUUUAGAAAAAUAAAUCCUACAAGGCAGUAGGGCAUAAGAAAAGUAGUACUAGAUUGCAAGUUACCAACAGCAGAGUGACCAUGACGAUCCUAAUCCUGACCUGACCCGGAUAAAAUAGCUGAGAAGAUAUGACUGAAAAAAAUUACUUUAACUUAUUAUGGGAACAUAUUACUGAAGUUAAUUUUUUUUUUUUAAUUGAAUUUUUUUACAAUAUAAAGUUUUUUUUUAUUAUUUGUAUUGAUUUUAGAUUAUUUUUAAUAUUUAAUUUAAAAAUAUUUCU